UCCUCCGCCGCCGCCGCCGCCCGUCGCCGCUACUGCUCCUGCCGCCGCCGCCGCUCCAACCCCCUCCGCAGCCACCAGCAGCAGCCGGCCGCUCUCGCGAGAUCUGUGGAGGAGACAGAAAGAGAGAGAGCGGCUAACAUGGCAGAGGGGGAAGCGCGCGACUGGGCAGAGGAACGGGGAGAGGAGGAGAGCGCGAGAGCGCGAGGACCAAGAGAGGUGCCCGGGGAUCGGAGACGGCAGCGCCUCGCCGGAAGUCUGCAUGUGCCUCAGGUCUGUCUGCGGACCCAAACAGGACAGAAAAAGAAGCUCCCCCUGCGUCCUCCUCAUCCCGCCUCUUGGCCCAUUAAGUAGACCCUUCCGUCGCCCGCCGUCCCCAAGGAGGAAUUGCACCCGCGCCCUUCGCCUGUCUGCAGGAGGCGAAGUGUUCAAGCGAAGAGAGAGCCCGGAAUAGUCCGCACCUCGCAAGAGGCAACCGACGAUCCCACUACCUCUUCCUUGACGCCAACUCAACCCUUUGAAAGUAUAAAUCAAUGCCACCCAACUCCGACGUGUCGGGGUCAUUCCUACAUAUGACAGCUCAUUCCUUUUGAAAUUCGCACCAUUUUCCCCGUCUGAAGCUCCCCAAUUGAAAACUGCAUGACUUCAAAGGCCAGCUUCUAGGAUGCUUUCCAGGGCUUCAUAAUAGAGCAACCUUUACCUUCAGGAUUACAUUGUUAUACAAAGAAUUUAGAAAAUGUCCCUCUCAGCUCUUAAGAGCUUUGGUAGGCCUGCUGGCCUGUCAAACUCUAAAACCUUCCCAGGUACCUUACCUUGCAAAAUGGGGAAAGAGCCUGUGCUUACUUGCCUUACUGAAUGCAUGAGUUUGGAGGGAUCUUUCUUUUUGAGGAAGGCCGUUUUGUGUGCAAAUCAUACUGUCCUCCCAGCAGAGGGUCCAAGCAGUUUCCAGAACAGAAUAGCCUUUCCGGAUUAAAUCAAAGAUCCAUUCUCUCCUGCUACUUUUCUCAAAGUGAUCUGCAGUGCUCUCGUCAAAAGUUGAACAGUAAAGGGUGUUGAGUUAGAUGGGAGUUCAGCCUAGCCUAAUCCUUAGAUGUUUACUGCCUGAAAUGUGAAAGCAACCAAUCUUCAGUUACAGUAAAGUCUUGCUGCUCAUAAUAUUACAAUUUCUAAAUAAUUUUUUUUCCAAGCUAAAUCCUGGAACUUAUUUAGCUUUUCUUAAUAGGGAAUUUUACCUUACUUCUUCAGUUGUGCUCAAGUUCAGGGCUAAAAUGAACACAGCCUCUAUGAAACACGGUGAAGAAAUAAAGAAACUAAUGACCUGAAACCAGAAUGCCCGCAGUAAAAUGGAAUAGAUUGUAUGCAUCAAAGCAUCUUUACUGGGGAAAUUGCAAUUUUUAUUAACUUGAGGCAGAAAAAUGCCACAAUCUUUGCUAUUUUGCACUUUAUGAUACAAUAUAUUAUUGAGGAUAUAAGCCGCAUAAUAGUUCUGUGUGCAUAUCCACAAUAGUUCUGAGUGCAUCUUGAAAGACAAGUUUCUUUUCCUGUGACUAGACACCAGAACCAGUUCAUUGAAACAAAAGCAGUACCACUGGAACAACACACAGGCUUUCCAGGCCUUGCUUUCCUUUUUCCUUCUCCUAGAUUUUUUCUCUGCCAUGAGAAAGUUUGAGAGGCAAUCUCAGCCAAGUCAGCCUUUGAUUUAGUAUCUACAAACUGCAUAUUCUAAACGGUCCAUGCUGGAGAGCACCCAUUUUCAUCAAGGAUAACUCUAAGUAUUUGGAAGCUGCACUACUACUAGAAAACAAAGAAAACGAAUACCCAAAAUCGUCUUUCCAAACGGUUUUAAGAGUAACCAACAGACUAUUUCUCACGGGCAUUCGACUCCUGGAAGGUUGAAAGCUGGCAUCUGCUAGGUCCAAAACUAGAGGGAAACGCUAACUCUAGCGCCUCAAUAGUUCGGACUCAGGCCGUCCUUGCAACUCCGACGAUGCACAAUGUCUUCCUACCCUGCGGUUCGCUCCCGGGUUCAGCUGCGGUGGAAGAACGAUUCCUGGAGUUUGCGCUAUAACCUGACAUCCAGGAACGCAGUGAAAGUCGCGGGCUGCGCUAAACUAACUCGCCCAUUCCCUCCUGGAGCUGGGCGGCGUGACCCGCCUGAGCGGAAGGGCUUUUUACCCGCGAGGAUCAUGCUGAGAGUGGGGAGAGCUGUCUUACGAGCAAGCCGGGAAGAAGCUGAGAUCCACCCGGGAGGUCCCUUCCUCCUAUAUUGCUACGCAUUCCCCGCAAGGAAAACCCGGAACGUCGUCUUAUCGGUAGCACCUCCAGCAAUGUCACCUAAAGGUGGGCUGGGCAGGUUUGACUGGCUAUCUUUAUCACCGAAAAUUUAUCUGUUGAAAUAGGUUGGAUACUUAACGCUUCUUUAUUUUUUAGCUAUCAAGAUAUAUUCUCCAUUUACAAUAAUCAGUUAACUAGCAAACCAAGCCGCACUGCCUUUCUCUGUAAGGCAAUGUGGAAAGGCAUUUAAAAACAGGUCCGGUUAAGCUUAGAUAUAUUAAGAUACAGAUGCUAACCUCUCAGACUACCUAAUUACCAAAUUACCUUUGAUAACCAAGGAGGCAACAGAUUAUAAAAUCCCGCUUGGGCUGGGAAAGAACCAUUACUGAACUAGGAAGGCAGGCAGCUCGUUUUUAAAAUCUACGGUAUUAAAGUUCCCAAUAAUUAUACAAUAAAAAUUAAGAAAUAUUCUAUUGGCAAUUUGGCAAAUAUAACUAUCUUGGAUGGAUGAAAUUUAUUUUUUAUGCAUAUUACACCUGUUCUAAAAAUAUAUUUCAACGGAUACCCAAUAUAUAAUGGUAUUCUGACAGGUAUUUUGAUUCUAAUAAAUACUAGUCUACAUAAGUUAUGUAAAUUUAGUUUUUUUUUUUUUCAGAAAUAGAAUUCCAUUUUAACAGCCUGGCUUAAAAAGUUUAUUUCUCAUAAGAAGUUGAAUCCCAGAUUGUGAGCAUGACAACAGAUAAUUGUAUAAACCAAAUAAAGAACUACUUCAAAUAUUUUCCACUACUAAAAGCAUAAAGACUUUUCAGAUUUAAGAUGUGCUGCAUAAUAUAAAAUAGUAUAUGCUUCAUAAAAUAAAAUAGUUAAAACUAUUUGAAAUACUUUUAAAAUACAAUACAAAUAUUUGUUUAGAAAGCAUUUGAUUGUAUAUAUUAUUUAGCUUUUUCAGUUUGUUCAACAAAGUGCCAAAAUUAUUGUUUUAUGAUGAUAUUCAGUCUUGUCUAAACUGAGGUCUGUAUUUUAGAACAAAAUGGACAGUUAUUAUCCUAUAAUUCCUUGCUAACAAUUUAUUUUAAAAAAUCAAUGAAUUUAAUAUGACCAGAAACAACUAUUUAUUCUGAUAUACAUUUUCUAACUCCUAUCUCUUCUAUGAAAAAAGUAAUGAAAAAUAUUUCAACCACACAAAGUUUCUUUUGUUUUUUGUUAAAUAAGCAUUAAAAAUAGUUAUUAAUUUAAUUGCAAAAGUUCUAGCUUUAUUCUUAAAAAAGGGAAUGUAAAUAGUAAGUCACAUACACAAGGGAUGUGAUAUAUUUAACAAAUAAAACAAAAUGUAGGGUAAUAAAACUUCAUCACAUAACCUUAAUCACAAUCUUUUGUCAUCAUUGGUAUCUAAAUAUGACUUCAAUUACUAAGAACAUUUUUAAAUUAAUAAAAACAAAACAUUACUAUAAAGACAUAUGUUUAUAACAACCUAACUCAUUUAUUUGGAGAUUGCUUACUAUCUUAAAACAUGGUCUCACAAACAUUUUGAAGCUUCAAUAAAAUUGAGGAAUUUUAUUUUUCCUUCUUAAAGGAAGUUUGUUCGAUUGUGGCUCUGCAGAAAUUAAAAUAAAGCAUUCAUAAAACACCCAUAUCCAAAGUGAAAAUGAGAUCAACUUUAAUAUAUAAUUAUAACUUAGUUCUAUACAUAGUAUACAAUCUUACUUUUGCCACAAUAAACUAACAAUCAAAGUGCAGUUUUAAAAACAGGAAGCCUGUAUGAUAUUGAACCAUUCCUAAAAUGUUAUAGAAAGUUGUACAACAUUAAAUUGCUAAAGCCUUAAAAUGUAUGUAUGUAAUAUGCAUGGCUUCUAAAAUUUUAGAAAUCUCUGGCAUUGAUACCAUACAUUGUAAAAAUAUUAAGUGUAUAAUUAUUUCCAAUGUAGUUAGAUUCUACAGAUGAAUUUAAAUGGAUAUUUCAGACCCCAUAAGAAAAAGAGUUAAAAUAGAAAUUUGAAGCCACUGCAGAGGAUUAAAAUUUCUGAAGUAUUAUAAUAUAAAGCAUUUCAUUUUAUUCAAAUUAAACUGUUUAUUUCUUUGUAAAAGCAAUUUUUAAAGAUGUAUUUUUGUCAAAACCUCAAAAUGUUGUUUCUUGUUGGCUAUUAACAUUUCUAUUAAUCUUUUGAUAUAAUUACAGAUGGAGGUAAUAUAUCUGAUCAUAUUACUCAUUUAUUAUUAACUAUAUUUGCAACAAGCAUGUUUAUAUUGAAAUGAAAAAAAUAAAAUAAAAAAAACCUCUCCUUUUUACCUGUAAUAUUCAGAACAAGUUUAGAAAAAGCAAGAGAUUUCCCUGCACUUUUAAAGCACAGAAACCAAUAAUCAAGUUUGGGAUUAUGCCAUUUAUGAUAAGGGUAUUUUUACCCCUGGUAAUUUUCCUUUUUAUCAUGCUGUAUCUGAAAAAGUUUAAUAUUUCAGAGAUAUGAUUGUAUUAUUUCAUAUAUGAAUAGAAGCUACCUUAAAAUAUCACAAAUUGGCAAGAAUGCAUUUUCCUAACCUUCAAAAUGCCAAUAACUUAAAAAUUUUAGCAAUAUUUAUUUAGCUGGCACCAUUUAUCACAAAUAAAAUUUAAUUAUGAUAAAAUGACUCAAUCAUAUUA